AGGUAAUAGGUAUUGACAAGUUUGCAUCAUGCGUGAGUAUAAGCUGGUCGUUCUUGGAUCAGGAGGCGUUGGAAAGUCCGCUCUGACUGUACAGUUUGUUCAAGGAAUUUUUGUUGAAAAAUAUGAUCCUACGAUAGAAGAUUCUUACAGAAAGCAAGUUGAAGUAGAUGCACAACAGUGUAUGCUUGAAAUCUUGGAUACUGCAGGAACGGAACAACUCACAGCAAUUAGGGAUUUGUACAUGAAAAAUGGACAAGGCUUUGCAUUAGUUUAUUACAUCACAGCACAGUCCACAUUUAACGAUUUAUAAGGUCUGAGAGAACAGAUUCUUCGAGUUAAAGAUACUGAUCAUGUUCCAAUGAUUCUGGUUGGUAAUAAGUGUGACUUGGAAGACAAAAGAGUUGUAGAAAAGGAACAAGGUCAAAAUCUAGCAAGACCAUGGAACAACUGUGCAUUCUUAGAAUCUUCUGCAAAAUCAAAUAUAAAUGUUAAUGAGAUCUUUUAUGACCUAGUGCAGCAAAUUAACAGAAAAAUUCCAGUGCCUGGGAAGGCCUGCAAAAAGUCAAUAUGUCAGCUGCUUUAAUAUACUAAAUGCAUUGUAGCUCUGAGCCAGGUCUGAAGAACUGUUGCCCAAUUCAACAGUGCCAGCAUUCCAACUUUGUUAAACCUACCAGCAUCUUAAAUGGACUUUCCUGUGGUG